rnacentral:tRNA from 1 species
UCUCUGGUGGCUUAGAUGGUAAAGAAUCUGCCUGCAAUGCAGGAGAUCCAGGUUCAUUCCCUGAGUGGGGAA